AUUUAUAUCAGUAUAUGCAUGCUGAGGUAUGUAUAUAUAUUGACUAUGUCAAAUAAAGUUCUAGAUAGAUAAUUGAUAAUGACAAACUUCUAUCUAUAUGUCUUGACCAAGUCUUGUGCCAGCAGUCGCGGCAAUACAAGGAAGACUAGUGUUAUUCAUCUUUAUUAGGUUUAAAGGGUACCUAGACGGUUUUUCUAGCUCCAGAAGAGUACGGGAAAACUAGAGUUUGAUGGGAGAGGAAAAUAUUAGUGCUAUANGNGUAGAGAUGAAAUUCUUUGAUACUAAUAGAACGGAUAAAGGCGAANNUAAACCUCUAUGUAUAANCUGACGUUGAGGGACGAAGGCUUGGGGAGCAAAUAGGAUUAGAUACCCUAGUAGUCCAGGCAGAAAAUUAUGAAUGUUAUAGACUGAAUAAAAAGUUGGUGUAUAAAUGAAAGUGUAAGCAUUCCACCUCAAGAGUAAUGUGGCAACACAGGAACUGAAAUCAUUAGACCGUUUCUGAAACCAGUAGUGAAGUAUGUUAUUUAAUUCGAUGACCCUCGAAAAACCUUACCACAAUUUGAAUAAUAUUUGUUGUAAAUCCUCACAUGAGGUAUCAAAUAAUACAAGCGUUGCACGGCUGUCUUCAGUUAAUGUCGUGAGAUUUUGGUUAGAUCCAUUAAAUUAACGUAAACCCUUGCUUCUAUUAACACCAUUAUAAUUAUGAAGCAGUUCACCGCUAUAUUGGAUACGAUAAC
rnacentral:rRNA from 1 species